GUUUAACAGGUUUUUACUAAACAAGACACUCAGAAUGUACAUCAAUAAGAGAUUUAGGAUGUUGAACAUGAACUGUGAACUGGAACACACUGAACAACAACAUGUGUUUGAAUUUUGACCCAGGAGUUUUUGUUUCUAAAUCAGUUCAGAUACUUUUUGGCACCUGGUUGAACUCCAAAAAGCAGUUACGCAGUCAAAACUCAGUAAAAACACAGUAAAAAAUAAAUAAAUAAAUAAAGGAAAAAUCACCACAACACUGCAAACAACAGU